GGUGUACCAAGCUGGAUAAGGAGCCAAAGGAACCAGAUAUUGAUCCCAUCGACCUCCAAUUCUAUAACGAAGAUUAAGAGCCGAUGUUAGAGUGGGUCAAAGCGACAAAGAACCAAGAGGAUCCUCCUUGAUAAAGUAGGAGAUCCUCAACGUCCUACGCGUUUUCUCACCGAGACAAUAGAAGAAGAGGAAGCAUAACCCCAACAAGUGGAAAAUCCCCCUCGGUCACAACAUGGUAGGAGUCAAACAACAUCGGGUCAGACUGCUCGAGGAACUAUAGAUACCCAACUGUCACUGUCGUCCGCCCAACGUGCAAAGGCAAAGGCAAAGGCAGAGGCAAAGGGGAAGGCAGUAGCAUCAGCCGCAUCGUUGGAAAAAAUCAAGUUGAGCAACGAGACACUUUCGCAAUUGCAUUCAGCAACUCGCUCGGUCCAGAGACAUGACAGCAACACGGACAACAGUGCCUCGACGGAUGAUGGUGGCGACGUCGGGCAGUCGUUGGUCUCAUCUACACAACUUGAGGGUGGUGCAUGGACCAAGGAGCAAUAUUUUACACAUGCUACCCAAGAUUCAGAUCAUGGAACUCGACAAGGUCAAAUCUAUGUGCGAAAGGGGAAGAGGAAGCCAGUAGAUGAAUUUGAACGGAUGCGACAAAACCUACACGAUGUAGACACAGAACGAAACUCAUCAUAUUCACAACUGUUGUAUUAUGGAAAAUCUUACGGCCAACAGCAAUACGAUGAUAGUUGGUCAUACUUCUCCGUGCAACAGUAUGAUACGGAGCAACAAAUCAGUGGCGAAAGUAGAAGCUCUAACAUUCACCGAUACAUGCCUCAAGAGCCGCCUUGAACACAUGAUUCAUAACGAUCAACCUACAAUCAUCACCACAUUGAUGCAUCAAUGACAUAUGAUGUAUCAAUACACUAUGUCAUGAGAUCAAUUUCAAGAUUAAGUCCAACAAACAUAUCAUAUUGAUAUACAAAUACAUAGGAUCGAGGACCCCGAUCCACCACCCGUGAAGGCCUGUCGUUUAUUUCGGUGGUAGAAUCAACAAUCAAGUAUAUCUACAUAUAUAAUUAUUUAAUUAUUUGAAUCUUAAAGUUUAUAUUGUAAUAAAAUAAUCUAACAAUUCAAAUGAUUUUUCUGUAGAUAUUUUAAUAUUUAUAGAAGGACAAUCUGUAACGGAUCGAAAUACGAACCUUGUACAAGGCUAUUCCUCAAAACCCAAAAAAGAUAUGUGAUACUAUUCUUACCUAAUUUACAUUGAUUUUGCUAAACUUAUACUAAAUGUAUAUUUAUUUCUAACUUAAAAACUCUAUCCAAACUUUUUUUUAUUUUUUAGGUAUUUUUCGAGUAUUUUACACCUAAAUUAGGCGUACCGCUCAGUACGUCGUACCGUCCCAUACCGAGCAAAGCUCGAUACACCAGUACAGUACGAAAUUUUAAUCCUUGCUUUCAUUAGUGUAUUUUCCACGAUCUAGUUCUACUUUCCAUGAUGUGACAUUAUUUAUUUUUAUCACCAUGUAACGCUUCAAGGAACACUUCCGAGAUGUUGACAUAAAGGCACUUAGGCUUCAAAGAAGAGCUGAUAGAUAAGAAUUUGCAUAACAAUUAUAGCUAUAACCAAAUCUUACACCCAUUUAUAUCUUGUUACAAUAAUGCUAUUUAUGAGAACCAGCAGACAUAAUAAUCCUCUGAUUUUGAUCACCCCCAGAGGCUUUGCCAAUGAUGUUCACCAUAGAAAGCAUAUAUGAGUGAUUUAAUGGCAGUUAUGCACACUAUGCAAUGAUUUACAAAACAAAAUUUGAACAAAAGAUUUCCACAGUGCUUCGAAGAUGAAACUUUGUUAUGCUAAAUAUUUCCAUGAUCUGUAUCAAUGUUGCAAAAGCGAUAAGGACAAUACUGUAAAUAAUUUUUAUUUUGCUUUGACUGUUCCAUUUGGUUGCUCGAGAAGACCAUUUCAGGUUCAAGAAAUUUGAUGCUAGCAUUAGAAACAAUUUCAAGAACAAGAAACAAAAGCUUACAGUCUUACACCAAUUUAUAUCUUGUUACUGUAAUGCACUUUAUGAGAACCAGUAGACAUAUUAAUCCUUUUCUUUUGUUUUCCUCCAGAAGUUUCGCCAAUGACUUUCACCAUAGAAAGUAUAUAUGUCAGCGGUUUAAUGACAGUCGGGCAUAUUAUGCAAUGGAUUAUACAACUAAAUUUGACUGAAAAAAGAUUUCCACAGUGCUUCAAAGAUGAAACAUCAUUACCUUAAAUAUGUUCAUAAUGUGUAUCGACGUUGCAAAUGUGGAUAAGGACGAUACUGUAAAUAAUAUUUGUUAUGCUUUGACUGUUCCGUUUGGUUGCUCAAGAGAACCAUUUCAGAGUCGACAGAAUUUAACGCUAGCAUUACAGAUUAUUUCAAGAACAAGAAACCAAGCAAAACAAAUCCAAUAGAACAAAAUACCGAUCGCGAGGAGGGUAGGCUUCUUGAGAGGCCGGUCCUCGGGCACGGGCUUGGGCCGCUGCUGUAUGUGGAGGUAGACGGGGUUCCCGCUCUUCUCAUAGUUCCACCCCACGCCCUCCUUCCCGAACGCAAUAAACGAGCUGAGAUCCACGUACAGCCCCCCUUCCGACCUCUGGCCGGCGCAACACGGAACAAGAUCAGUCCAUCGGAAAACGAAUCAAAGAAUAGCGGCGAGAAGAGAUCAGAAGGGAGGCUACCGGGGUGUCGAACGAGAUGCAGCACUCCGUCUUGUAGAUGCGGUUGGUGGGCUCCGGGAUCCGAACCCUGGAGAGGUGCGAGCGGAGGAGCUCCAUCGGCGACGACAAGCGGUUUGAGGAAGAGAUAAAGGAGGACGAGGAGAUCGAAGAGAGGGCGGUGCUAGGGUUUUCGUCGCUGUUAUCGCGGGGAAGAGGGAAAGAGACGGAGGGAGAGAGAGGAGGAGGGGGGAUUCUUUUCUUGCGCCGAUAUCCUUUCGGCGCGCCUAAAGCUUGACGUCUUUUGAAGUCAUUUCCGAAACGAUUCCUCGAGGUUUAUCGGGAAACGGAAACGGCUACGGAGCCGUUUCCGUCGGAGAAACAGAGCGCGUUCAUUGAGCUGAAACAGAGAUCCAAGAACAAUGGCAUUCAAGAUCAACCCAUCUGAAAGAAAUUUACUAGUUCUAUACACAUCAAACACCAACACAAUUCUACAUCAUCUUUAGCCUUCAGAACUGAUCAAAGACGUGGUCUCUAUCAGAGAAGUCGAGAGUGCCUUCGUGGAACCCUGGCCUGAAGAGGAGUCUGAGGAGAAGCAUUUGGUGUUACUGUCAUCCAAGAGAGCUUGGAGUUUCCUUGGCGUCGGAGGCUUGUCAACGUCAAGAGCACCCUCCAGAAUCUGAACAACCUGCGCCAUCGAUGGCCUGUGGGCUUCAUCGUCCUGAAUGCACCAGCACGCAACUCUACAUGCUCUCUCAAGCUCUGUUAUGUCGGCGUUUCCAUGCAGCCGCGGAUCCAACAGGCUAAGAAUGUCACCUUCCACCAACUUCGUCGCAGCCAACACGGGGAAGAAGGGAUCGUCUUCCCGGGAUUGCUCCGUGUUUCUUCUCCCAGAAAUGAGUUCCAAGAGUGUCAUCCCGUAACUGUAGGCGUCGGCUUUGGGGGUGAUGGCCUCGCCGGAGAUCCAUUCUGGAGCGAGGUAGCCCACGGUUCCUCUCAUCGUGGUCAAGACCUUGCUGAAGUCUCGGCCUACGAGCUUUGCCAGGCCGAAGUCGGCCAGCUUCGGGUGAAAGGAUUCGUCCAAGAGUAUGUUCUCCGGCUUCACGUCGCAGUGUAUGAUGCAGUCCCUGCAUUGCUCGUGCAGAUAAGCUAAUCCUCGAGCUGUUCCGAUGGCGAUGUUAUACCUUGUCAACCAGGCCAUAGCCGGGGAACCUUUACUAAACAGAUGCGUGUUUAGAGAACCAUUCGUCAUGUAAUCGUAAACCAGCAACCUCUUGUUGGCUUCGGAGCAGAAUCCACGAAGACGAACCAGGUUAACAUGUUGAAUCAUUCCCAGAGUGCUCACUUCGUUGCGGAAUUGCUUCUCCCCUUGAUGUACAAGGCUUCUGAGCUUUUUUACAGCGAUGAGAGUGGAGUCAGGCAGAGUCCCUUUGAACACUGAACCGAAACCUCCUCCGCCCAACCGCUCCGAGAAGUUCCUGGUCAUCCGCUGCAAGUCACCAUACCUGAAGACCACCAGAUUACCCUCCGUUGCUUCGUCAGUACCAAGUUCUCUUUUCCCAAGUUGUCUCAAGAACAGCACCAGGGCAGAAGCCAAGAGAGCGAGAGCAACGGCAGCACCAACCACCACGAGCUUGAGGGUCCUUCUUGUCUCUCUCCCGGGCAUCGGCAGCUCCGAAGCAGCUAAACGUACAUACACUGUUUCUCGCCUGGAUCCAUCAGACAGCUCCUGGAGAUUCAGCAGAUCACCAUACCAGGCAGAACAUCCGCCAUCGUAGGAAUAAGCAGUGCACGAACAAUUCUGCAAGCACAACAAUUCGCACUCCUCGACACUGGCAGCUGCUAGCGAACGGGGAUCAUCCGGCAGUUGGGUACCAGAGAUGGCAAAGAACCUGUCAUCUUUGCCGCACUGCAACGGGGUGUUCCUCGCGCAUCCCUGGCGUCGAUCGCCCAAUUGCCAGUCCACGGGGGACUUCUCGCUGAAACCUUUGAUGCAGCUGCAGAAUGGUAAGCCGUUCUCGUUGCAGCUGCCGAAAGGCCCGCAGAGAGCGUAGACAUCGCACUGUUUCUUGGGCAGAGCCAGGAACCUAAUCCACUCCUGGGCUUCUUCCACCCAAGCAAGUUGAGUGAGCUGCCCCGAGAUGUCUAAUAUGGUUCUGGUGAUCAUGUCGCCCCUGAGUUCAUACACGAAGUAGUUGGUCGUGGAGUUGGAGAAGAACUCGACAGAGACGUUGACCACCGUCGGAUCCUGACGGUAGGCCGUCAUCUCCGGGACCGAGCUAAAGAAAUGCCCAUUCCAAGGCCCUGUACUCCAGUACUGCUUAGACCUGUUCCACAGUAGAAUGAAUUGGGUUAGACCGGUAGGAUCCAACUCCACGGAGAAGAUGCCAGCAGCAGGAUCAUCGGAGUUCCGCCAUGAAGUGAGGACUGGACCUUUUCCGGUCACUUUGUUCAUCACAAACUUUACCCCGGGGAGCCAUGUAUCAGUUGGGUGAUCAAAGCUCUGCCAAAGGAGCUUGGAUGGGUCAGACCAGUCUCUGAGGAUAAGGUUUCCCGAGUCGAGGAUCUCAGCGACCGUGGCGUUGGAGGCCGUGGACGUGAGGUUGGUGGACCAAACUUGUGCAUCAGACUGGCCGAGGAGUACCAAGUUGCCGUCAUCGGAGAUCUUGAGCUGAGAUGUGGCUGGGUCGAAUACGGGAUUGUUUCUAUUUGCUACCCAGAUCGGAGUAAGCUUCGAGACCUUCUUGAAUAAGAUGCCUAUGUAGUGGCGGCUGGGACUCUGUUCACCUACUUGGAAGAAGCCGAGCACAAAGUUGCCACCCGGGGAGGUGAUGGUCUGGUUUCCGGAGAGACUGUGGUUGGAGGAGAUGUAAUCGACUGCAAACGCGAGGGUGGCAUUUACACAGACGAAGAAGAGGAGGAAGAAGAGGGUCGGGGAGUGAGAAAACAUGGAGAGAUGUCUCCGCGAAGCCAUGAUGAGCCGACUCACGAGAUAGAUAGAUAGAUAAAUAGUAUGGAGAACAGACGAUAGAUGAUGGGACAUCUGAUGGGACAUGAAAUGAGAGUCUGGGGACGAGGGCAAGAGAGAGAAAGAGGAGAGACAUUGGCAAGUGUCAUGUGAGACAGGCUUCCUUUCUCUCAACCACAAACGGGUAAAAAGCCAUGACAGCCUAAAGAAGAGACAAGAAUUGCCAUGCAGUAACACUGAGAGCGAAGCUGCCUUCGUCUUCCUCCGUGAGGCUUUCUGGCGUACGCGGGGAAGACUUCCUGCGACUCCAGAAAGGAGUAGUCCACUGCAAAAUAUGCUCUUUGGAGACUUUCGCCCUUUGCGCUGUACCGAUUCGAUNNNNNNNNNNNNNNNNNNNNAUAUAUAUAUAUAUAUAUAUAUAUAUAUAUAUAUAUAUAUAUAUAUAUAUAUAUAUAUAUAUAUAUAUAUAUAUAGGUUUACGAUGUUUUUAUAGAUGCAUCAAAAAUACUAUAAAUAUAUUCAAUAAUAGUAUAACUGAUAUGUUUUCUUUAAAUAAUUUUAUUCUCAAAUUAAUAAAAAUAUAUAUUCAAAAAAUCACAAACGGUUAUUAGUUGUAUUUUUUAUCAAUAUUUUUUAGGUAUAGUGUUAUAUAUAUGAUUAAAAAAUAUAUUUGACAUAAAAAUUAAGUUUUUUUAACAUAUUGUUUAUCUCAAAGCAAUAAAAAUAGCAUGCUUUCCUCGAAAAAAUCUCUUUUUUUUUCCUUUGCUAUUCUCAAUUUUAUUUUUUUUAUUUAAUUUUUUUUCCUUAAUGUCUCUCGUCACAAGGCUUGUCAUCUUUGUCUCACCUUUUUUUUUUUUCUUCUCUCAUCUAAUAAAAAAAAACCAAAGAUGAAGAGUCUCACGGAUGUGGAGAGACAACAAGAGAUUCAAGAUAUUAGAGGAAAAAAUAACACCAAAUUAAAAAAAUAAAAUAAUGCUACUUCAAAUAGAUGUUUUUAUUUUUUAUGAUCAAUAACAUGUAAAAAAAAUUAUUUUUAUAUGUCAAUUAUAUUAUUUUUAUCCUAUAUAUAUAUAUAUAUAUAUAAACACUAUAACUAAAAAUACAAAUUGAUGCAUGCAUUCAGGCCACCGGUGAUAUCCAAAUAGAUGCACAUUAAUUCACCGUAGUGGUUGGAUUGCAUUAAAAGCUACACACAACGGUCUCACCAACUUACGCAUGUGUCAGGUAAUGAACAUAAAUUGCUUUUGAGUUAAUAUCGUGUGCACUUAUGUUUCAUCAUCAACUCAUAUUUAUAUUAUCAUUUAUUGUCCAUCUCCCACGUAGACCAGACAUUAUAGAUGAUAAUUACACUCCGAAUACACAUUGCACUACCCCGAUCUGAUCUAAUUAUAUCAUAUUUAAUCUGUUUUAAUGAAAAAAUAAAUGAAGACGGUAUCUCUUGCCCUUCCUCACUUUAUACUUCAGAUUCUCCGACACAUUAGAGAUUCAUUCGAUCUAGAUGUAAGUGUGAUGUAGAAACUAAGUCAUCUUAUGCUUAAAUUGAUUAAAUCAAAAUAUUCGAGAAAUACAAUAUAUAAGUGAGUAUUGUUCAUGAUUAAAUGACACAUCUCGAUGACUUUUUACAGUAAGAUUGUGUAAUUAUCAAAUUAAAAUAAUAAUUUAAUUAAUGAAAUGAUUAAUUAUUUGGUGAUAUAGAAAAUAUCAUCAUCCAACACACGACCUCCGUAUUCAGAUUAAAAGGAGAAUACGAAAGUCAACAUACAUAUGUUUAUCCACGUGAACAAUGGUAUAAGGCAGACGGUCAUAGACUCUUCUCCCUUAUUGCCUAUAAGGAUAAAAAGUCAAGAGGAGAUAGUUAGAGACUAUAUUAUUAUAAAAUAUUCUAUAAAAUAUUCAAUCCUUUUAUGACCAUAUAUAAAAGCUCGUAUUUAACACAAUGAAAUGAGAAUCAUCUUUUGACCACUCGCAUCUAUAUUUAUAUACUUAUAUUAAUAAUUUGGAUGUUAAAAGAAUUGAGUAGAAAAAUCUAUUUGAACCUCGAUCUUCGUACAUGUAACACCUUAAUAACUUAACGUUUUCAUAUCGAAUGUACCUCGUGAAUAGCCCUAUACACAUAAAUCCGAAUCAUAUUAAACUGAUUAAGACAUGAAUUAUUGGUAGGUUGCUCACAUGUCACUCUCGUUAUCGGUGCUAAACCCACCCACCCGUCCAUCCAUCCUAUAAAAAAUAAUCCAAAAAUAUAAUAAAAUAAAAUCGAGAAAAAAGAAUGACUACAAACCGUACCUCCAUUUGGACGACGGCGAUGAAAUCGUGGAUGCCUUCCGUGCGCCGAUCUAACAAUGACGACCGUCCGAUGACCUGAUCGGAUCGGCAGGCGGGAAGGCGCCGUCUCGGGUUAAAUAGCGACGGGGAGGAAGUGGGUUUACAUGGAUUCACUUCACCGGAGAAGGACACCGGACAUCGAUUUAAGGUUGCAUGGAAACGACAGUGCAAUAAAGUUAGGUCAUAAUAAGUAUGGGGCACGUUGUGUACAUCCAUCUGCUUGCAUUAACCAUCCAUUUACUCCUCUCCGAUUGUUGAUGAUGUGAUGCAUCUCAUUUUGUUGUAGUGGCCUUAUCAUAUCGCAUGAGGUUUGGUGGAUGAAUUGUUUUGUUUUCUUUGGCUUUUUUGAUAUUUAGGGUUAACGGUAAAUUUAUAAUUUUAAUAUCAAAAAUAUUGAUUGGUAAAAAAAUUUAGUUUUUGUAAAAUAACUCUAUGUGAUCAUUAUAAUAUUAUUAAAAUAUAUUUUUAUCAUUUAUCCUUUUGAAAUUUUAUAAGGGAGCCCCGACUUUCAAUAAAUGGUUGAAAUGGUUGAUUCUUCUUCUUCAUUGGCAUCAAUUUUCUUUUUCUCUACUAUCAAGUCCAUGGAUGAUAAUUGACUGAUUGGAGCUGCUCUAAGUCUUGCCCCUUAAGGUAUGCUUCACUUCUCGAGACAUUUUCUACUGAUCCAACAGAUGGGCUUCUAACUUUAAGUUACUUUUAUGUAGGGAUAAAUCUUGGGGAGUUGAGUAUUUGGUUGUUCAACCCCGAUAAGAAAGCAAUGGCCAUGAGUUUAGAGUGCCACAUAGUGCACUUUGGAUCCUCCACUAAUUGGCCUCAAAUUUGGGAGCUGUCCACCAUGGACGACAUGACUUGAUACACUCGAUGGUCGAGGAUCUCGGGACCCCUUCGAUCGAAGCAUCAGCUAGCCAAGGUGGUUCUACGACAACUUGGGUCUACGACGAGUGAGGUGGCUUGUUAGGCUUUUGAAACACCACUGGCUGCUGAGGAAGAACAAUAGGCGCUAACUAAGCUAGAUAUGAGAGUAGAGAAACGACUGACUACAUCAUCCCGAUAAGAGUAUAGGCUUGCUAGGCAAGGGUUAGGAAGACAUCUAUUGGAAUCAGCUUGUGGAUUGUCAUCAUUAUUAGAGUGGAGAGACUCGAGUCAUUAAAUAACCGUUAAUAUUAUAUGGGAGUUUAGAUAGAAGUUGAGGUGUCGAGCAUCAAGAACAUUGACUAUUGGCCUCCUUGGGUGAAAGUGUUAUAGGUCGAAAGUUGUACACCAUUGAUCGAAUGCUCAUUGAAUAGAUCGAUAGUGUGGUGCUCUUAUGACAUAGAGUCCUCUGCUAAAAUGAUAAUUGAAAGAUCAAUGAUACAUUUGUCAGUUUGAUUCGGUUUUGAAUCACAUGUGCAGCUUGACCCAGGUGAAAUAUUUCAUUCUGAAUUUAUCAUUGUUAUUGGGCUAAAGUGACGAUCAUGUCAUCCGGACAAUCAUAUUGCGAGCUACAACUACAUGAUGAGUUCUCCCCUUUAAAGAGUUAAUCGUGAAUUUAAUUAUUAUAAUAUCAAAUAUGCUAACUAAUAAAAAUAUCCAAUUUAGUAGUAAAUUAUUUGAUAAAUGAUAGGUCUUAACUCUGCAUCAUAUUAACGUAAGAAAAAAAAAAUUAAUUGUUUAAAAACUUUAUGUGAUCAUCAUAACAUUACUAAAACUCGUCUCAAUCAUUUACUUAAAAAAAUUUCAAUCAUUUUUAAUCACUCGAAUCUAUAUUAUUUAAAAGGAUUUGAAACUUGAGAUUUUAUUAACUAUACUUAUGGUUAAAUGAGACUAGAUUAUGAGAUAUAUUGAUCAUUCUAUGGUUAAAUGAGACUAGAUUAUGAGAUAUAUUGAUCAUUCGUUACUAUACUUAUUAUCAUUCUAUGGUUAAAUGAGACUAGAUUAUGAGAUAUAUUGAUCCACUUAAACCUGAUUUAAAGUACCUAAUUCAAUGAAAGGUUUGAAUAGUAAAAUAGAUAUCCAAAUUAUAGCUUAUAUGCAUAAAAAAAACAUUAAUGAAAUUAUCAUAUUUAGCUGCUCAUUUACUUUAAUUUGGGCAUAAAUAGAGUUGUGAUGAUACAAUCUCGAGUAGAAACAUAUGAUAUCUUAGUAAAUUAACAACAAAUGAACUGUCACCCUCGUUUAUGAUAAAAAUCGAGGACAUGCUUAACAUACUAAAAGGAGAUGAAAAAUAAUAUUUUUUUAAAAUAUAUUUAAUUAAAUUUAAAUUUGAUAAAUAUAUCAAUCAAUUAAAACGUAGGAUAAUCUUGCCACUCACCUAAAGUGAAUAAUUAUUAUCGAGCCCACCCAAAUCAUAUAAUUCCUCUCGAACCCUCGUGCUUGGAUUCGAUGAACGAUAACUUAUAAAGAAUAUUUAAAUAUUUAUUAAAUUAUUUUUUAAGUGUCAUUCUAUCUCCUUAGAUGACUGUGCUAACAUUUUAUGAUGUUAUAAUUAAUAAUUAUCAACAUAAUAAUUGUGGAAAGAAAUCAAAAUUUUCCAUUGAACCCACUUGGCAGCCCAAUGGGCCCAAAACCCUAAACCCCUUCCCUCAAAAAAGAAUCUCUUUCCCCCCACAUAAAACACCGAACCGAAACCUUAUCUUCCCCACUGUUCGCCCAAUGAGCUCAUCGCUUCUGAUGGCGACGAUGAGCUCCCCCUCUUCCUCUCUCAUCCGCCUCAGAGCCCUACCAUCCGCGCCUUCACCAACCUCUAACCUUCUGCUCCCCGCCUCGAUGCUCCCUCGCCCCGCCUUCUCCUCCCGCCGCCGGGUCGUCUCCCGGUCACGUGGCAUCGGAGGCGCCCCUGUGGCGAUCCGCGCAAUGGCCGUCGACUCCGAUUACUCGUCGAGGAGGGGCGGCAGCAGCGAGCCGAGGGAGACGAUCAUGCUCCCCGGCUGCGAUUACAACCACUGGCUCAUCGUGAUGGAGUUCCCGAAGGAUCCGGCGCCCACGCGGGAGCAGAUGAUCGAGACCUAUCUCAACACUCUCGCCACCGUCCUGGGAAGGUAGAUUCCUUUGUUUAUCUUGUUAUCUUUGUGCAUUACAUGAUUGUUUUUGUCUAUCUUAAUGCUAAUUAUUCGGAGACGGAUUGACUUGUUUACUGAUUAUUUGGUGUCGUCGUCCUUUUCUUUAGGGUUUACAUUGCUCAAUUAAGGGCAACCGAGUGAAAUUAGCAGAUAUAGACGUUGAAAUAGUUGAUUUCUCUGAAUUAGACCGUGUUAGAUUGUAGAGAAAGCUAAAGAUUUUGCUACUCGAAGGAUAUGUUUGGUCAUGAAAUGUUAAGAAAAUAUUCAGAUAGUUGGGCUAAUUGCAUGAACUUGUGCAAACAUUGAGAUAGUUACACAAUUCCAAAUCUGAUAAUUUAGUCGUGUAAUAAGUUGCUCAGAGACUCAAUCCCUUCAAAGGUGCAUCCUUUUCUAAACUGGUAUGUGGUGCAACAAAAGUUGGUUAUCCUGUUACUUUGAGCGACAUAUAACUAUGAUUAAUGACCUGUUUGAUCCUGCCACAUCGGAUGUUUUGGAGUUUACACAUCAAAUAAUUGAGGUAUGAUUCUUUUAAAGCAAUUGAAAGAUGAAUAACUGAUAUGCGUUCUUAUCAUUUUGUGAGAUUCUUUUUUGGAUGUCGUUUGUAAUUAGUAUCAUAUCAUCCCAUUUCUUUAUCACUAUCCAUAACAUUCUACUCCAUGCUGCACUUCUGUGAAAAAUUAUGUGCAUGAAAUUGUUCUAGAUUCAUUGCAUGAAAACUUGUGAUGCCUAUGGACUGCUUUCUAAUUUGGACCUGAUAAAUGCUGUAUGAUACCUUCAGAAAUUCCCACUCGGUCAACAUGUCAAUCGAAUUGACUGUGUUAGUAGAAGAUGGAUGAUGAAAUUUUACUAGGGAAGUAAAGUAUCCCAUUUGAACUUUUAAGUCUGUUCCAAAUGCCAUGUGGAACAGGCAAAAAAAUAAAACAACGACAACAUAUAUCAACAUUCUGUUCCUCUUUCGACAAUGGAUGCAACAUCUGCGUUGCUAUGCCUACUCAUCAUUAAUACUAUGCUGCUUUCACAUACAUUGAAUAGUUAAUGAUUAGCAUAUCUCAUUCAGUCCAUCAUUUUUUGAUGCAUUUGGUUUUAUAAUGAGACAUUAUAAAAAAAAUUCAAAGCCUCUACAUUGGAACAUCAAACCCUCACAGUUGAUCUAUUGAUGAAAGCUGAUCUUAGUUUCUGCCUGUUUGGCACAAAUGAUAGUGACAAAAGUUAUGUUUGCACUAGGAUGUACUUUGCAAACUGACUCAAAGAGUAUUUGUCAUUUAAUUAGAAAAUAUAUAUUAUUCAAUCAGAACAAGUUGUUUACAUUGAAACGAGAACAUAGGCUUUUAUAGUUUGAUGUGAUGAACGAUCCCUGCUUAUCAAAACAUGGAUGAUUAAGAUAGAUUAUUUGAGAGGCUUUUAGAUGCACCAUAAGUGUGUGAUAUUCAUGGUGCUCUUAGGAACAAAAAUUACAAACAAAAUGGGACUUGAGGUUGUACUGAAUAGUUUUUUAUGUGAAUACCUUGAAUUUUUAUUUCUGAAUCACAAAUGUUCUCUUGAUGGUGUUCUUUUUAAUGUUAGAAUCCAUGUUGUUGUAAGUAGCAUUAAUAUAAAGCAAAUUGUUGACAUAAAUGGUAUUGCCUGAAAUUAUAUAUGUACAAGCUUGGUAAAUUUAUUAUUGUUUAUUUCAAUUCUUCACUCUCUCAUGUAUCUCUUGCAGCAUGGAAGAAGCCAAGAAGAACAUGUAUGCUUUCAGCACAACCACAUAUACUGGAUUCCAGUGCACUGUAUCUGAAGAAACAUCAGAAAAAUUUAAAGGUACUCUUACAUUUGCGAUAAUAUCAAAUCCUUGGUUGUUUAUUCUUAAAUUGUUUGCACAAUUUUUUGUUGCAUUCAGGUUUACCAGGAGUCCUCUGGGUACUGCCCGAUUCAUACAUUGAUGUGAAGAACAAAGAUUAUGGAGGUUAGUUGAAAGCACUUAAAUGUUCAUAUUAUUUUGAUGUUCAAAUUGUUGUCUUUCUUCCUGUCUUCAGGUGAUAGAUACAUAACUGGCGAGAUAAUACCAUGUGCUUAGAUUCAUGAUUACAUUAUUGCCUUCCUUCCCUUUUCAGGUGAUAAAUACAUAAAUGGGGAGAUAAUCCCAUGUACAUAUCCUACUUAUCAACCGAAGCAACGUGGAUCAAAGAACGAAAGCAGAAAAUAUGUGAGGCGGAGGGAUGGCCCUCCACCAGAACGCAGAAGACCGGCUGGAGAAACCCCUCAGGCUGGGUCUGCUUCCGCAUGAGGCAUGAUCUCUGCAUGACCUUCUAUUAUGUCUCAUUCGUAGAAAUCUCAUGUUCAUACCUCUAAUGUCAUCUUUUGUAGGCAUCAAUUGGUGUCGGAUAAAACAGUGACGAUUGGUCAACUAUAUACUUUUAUGCAUGGAGCACGCCAUUUCUUGCUAGGGUAAUCUAAAGGUGUGCAUUGAGCUGUGUGGUUGAUUUAUUUACGUCUCUACUUCGUCAGGUUUAUGUCCAUAUAGCUCUAGUGAUCUGAUCAAGAGUUGUAAGCUACUUUGUAUGAACCGAGACGUGAAGCUGAUGAUCAAACUAGGUCCUAUUUUGGCAUAUCUCUGGUCAUUUGGUAGCAAGCUGAUGUGUUAUUGUAAUAUUCAUAUCAGACUUAUAAAGCUAGGUGAGCCUAUCGUAACUUAAUUUUGUGUGUGUGUGUGUUUUUUUUUUGUUACCAAGGAUAAACAAAGAAAGGAGGAUUGGUGGAUUGGUGGAGGCAGGAUUUGAUCUAAAUGCUGCAGUUGUCUUACAAAGUUUUUACUAGCUAUUAUUUACUAAAUUUGAUCAAAUGAAAUUCUUAUGUGUUGAUAAUAUGUAAGUGAGAAAAUUAUCAAAUCUAUCAUUGUUCUGUGUAUCGACCACUCCAGUCUAUCAUACAAUGGUUUUCAAUGUGUUUUAUUAUAUUUGUGGCAACUAUAUAUAAAUGUUAUCAAAUUGGCCAAGUUUAUCAUACAAAUGAUUCAAAUUCAUAUAUAUAUAUAUAUAUAUAUCAUUUACUUUUUGAUAUUUGGGGUUAAUUUUGAGUUUAUCACGAUCUCAAUCAUCGCACAUGAUUAAUUUUCGAGCAAUUAUAAAUGUAACGCGUAUGGAUGAUAGCCUGUCCCUCUAAUCGUCCCACUCGUUGCUUUCCAGCGUGGGAUUCCGCCCUUUUCAGAUAGGGGCGAGCGUGGUGAGAAGUGGAGGAUGGGCCAUCGCAAUGGGGUUUCCAUGUCGAGAUGUGGCUGUUGGCCGCGUCAGAAACGGUUUUCGCCUUCGAUGGAGCUGCGGCAAAAGCCAUCUCGUCGCAGCGAUCUCGAUUGGACAUGGAAUCGUUCGAUUGGUGGAUCAAGAACAGACGAGGUUAGAUCGCUCGUGCACACGAAUUCUUAGGUAAAUCCAUCAAGAUUCUUUUCUCGUGCUUUCCAAAUCCAUGAAGUUUUACUCUUUUGUUUGACAGCGAACUUUGAACUUUUACGUCUUAAUCAUGUUUGUCGGUGUUUCUCUUAUUAUUUCGCUGCUGAUUUAAGUUCAGCUCUUAGACACAUCGUCGAUUGUAUAUUCCUUAAUUGGUACAGAAGAUACAGUUUACGAAGGGAAGGAAUUGUUACUUCACAAAUGGAUUAUGAUUGACAUUUGGAACUACUAACCUCUUGAAUGACUAUCGAACCGAACUAAGAUAAAUAACUACGAGGGACAGUGAAUCGACUCUACAAAUCAUCCUGCAAUAAGUUUUUCUUUUUGACCGUGUUUUUGUUUUGGUCAAGUGUCGUACUCUUGUUCUAGGAAAUGCUUGAACCACUGGACUGAAUCUUUUGGCAUCCUCGUUAGGUUCUUCUUGUAAUCAACAUAAUAGAGGCCGAAUCGAACUGUGUAGCCUGAGUUCCAUUCCCAAUUAUCUAGUAAUGACCACACGAAGUAGCCAUGCACAUUGCAACCGUCUUCCCUGCAUUGGUUCAUAAAAAAAGGAAGCAGUGGAACUGAAUAUGGUCAUGCCAAUUGAUUUAUUUGAGAUCAGUACAAGAUUAAUGACCACAACAUCAAGUGAACUAGCAUGAAAGAAAAUUACCGUAUCGCAGCUUGCAGGUUUGACAGGUAGUCAGCAUGAUAGCGUAUCCUCUUUUCAUCCUUCAGUGCUAUGUCUAGGUUAGUGAAAUUUGGAUCAUCCAUACCUACAAUACCGAAUGACUUUUUGUAAUAUCUGUCAAAAUAGAGAGCUAAUUCUGGAUUCGAUCAGAUUGGUUUUACCAUUUUCUGUAAUGAUAACUAGCGGGUUCUCGUAGUUCUCCUUGAUAUAGUUCAUUAACUUGCGAAUACCCCAUGGCACAAUGUGAAGCCAUCCCGAAGCAGCCUGAAAGAAGCAUGAAGUGAUAGUACCUAAACCUGAGCAUCGGUUGAAUAGUCAUUAGAAGCAUGAAUGUCGUGACUUACUCUUUCGCCAAUCCUCUCUCCAUGCCGAGUAGCUGUUGAGAACAUGGUAGAAAUUAGUAUGGUCUAUCAGGAAUAAAGUUUUGUUUAUGAUUUUGUCAUACAUGUUGCGAUAACGGCUGCAUCAGAUGAAGCAUCAUUCAGUAUCAGCUUCCUGAUUCUUGUCCGAUCAUUCCGAGCAUAUAAUGAGGUGUAGUGGUUAAUUCCUACAAAAUCUAGUGAACCAGCCAACGACUCAGAGUCGUCACUGGUAAAUCUGGGUAGUCUGUCACCUACUAGUUUCUUCAUGGUUUGAGGAUAAUCUCCAUACAUAAGGGGAUCCAAGAACCUGCUUCAGAUCCAUAUUCAACAAUCAAUCAUCAGUCCAGGUACUAGGUUAUUUUAUAUAUAGCAUGAAAUCGGUAGCAGAUUACCAUCCCAGUUCGAAUUUCAUUGCUCUAUAGGCAGCAUCUGUAUCUUCUUCAGUGCCAGAUAUAGGUUCAUACCAUUUGGAAUCAAGAGCUAUUCCAAUAGCGCCCUUUUGCUUUUCCUACAGAUUAAACUUAGCUUCUUAUCAUGCCAUUUCUGAUACAUUUUAUGGCAGUGGAGAGGUUGCAGCAAUUUAAACCAAUGGUUUACCUUAAAGUGGAGCUUGUAAGUAUGAAAUGCAGCAGCAUGAGAUAAGAGGAUGUUGUGAGCCACGAUAUAUGGUUCAGUUGAUGAUUUGCCUCUCCGACAAAGAAUGUGAGAUAGAAUAGAACACCUUCCUGGAGCUUGCAGACCUGUGUCAUAUCCUUGAAUUGAGAAUCCAUGAGGCUCGUUGAAGGUGAUCCAAUGCUUCACUCGAUCCCCGAAUGCUUUGAAACAAGUAUAAGCAUAAUGCUCGAAAUCUUGUCUGCAUUGUAGAGUGACUUUUAGCUUUCUUUUCUGGAUUUUGCUGACUGAAUAAACAUUCAAUUUAAUCCUUACAUGAUCUCUUGGCUCAACCAUCCAUUGUAUCGGUCCUCUAGAGCCUGUGGAAGAUCCCAGUGAAAGAGUGUAACAUAAGGUUGUAUUCCUGAAACAGAAAAAUAAGGGGGAAAAAGAAGAAAAAGGGAAUGCUCAGCCCUUGAAACUUUCAUUAGGACCCACAAGGAAAGGCUUUUAAAAGGUCACCGUUCUCUUGCAGAGCGUCUAUGAGUCUGUUAUAGUAGCUUAUUCCUUCUUGAUUAGGUUCCCCGGUUCCAUCUGUGAACAGGAAGCUUGUUAUUUUAUUCAGGAAAGAGGUAUAAAUAUUUCUAAUGCCAAUUAGCCAGCUCUGUAUUACUUGGGAAUAUCCGUGGCCAUGAGAUAGAGAACCUGUAGGCAUCCAUUCCUAUGUCCUUCAUCAAAUCCACAUCUGUCUGCAUAAAGAGAGCAGUAUCUUUUGGUACUAUAAAAUAAUAUGUUAAAUAUAUUUCAUGAAGUCCGUCAUCAUUCUUCUGCAUGAAGAAAUUAAACAUGUCUUUUUUGUUGAGAAGACCAUUAGAGCAGAUGGCUCUCCAGUGUAAAAGUUACAACUUCAAGAAGCCUGUAUUUGUGAAUGAGCCGAGUUCAUGGAAGAAGCUCAGAUAAGCUGCAAGUGCAAGAUUAUGUGAUGGGAAAGCACUAUAUGAUUAAGCAUGGUGGUUCACAGUUAAUUCAAUGUCUAGGCAAACUGCAGUUAUAUGGAAAAUUCAUAUCAGUUGAGUGAUUCUGAAUUUGUCUCACAAGAUCCUGCAAAAUGUAUUAGUUUACCGAAGCAGAUCUUUCGCUUGCUGUGUUAAAGGCUGUAAGUUGUAUGAUCUCAAGGGGGAAGAAAAAGGGAACCUCAUUGUUGAGAAAAUAAGGUUAAGCAGAACAGCUGUUGGAUAUCAAGAAGUUUCUGAUUCAAAAUCAUAAAAUUUUCUAACAUAUAUAGGUGAAGUUUCCAAGACAAUUGUAAGCACAACCAAAAAAUAAAAAGAAGGAAAAUUCAGUUUAAAAUGGAAUGCUACUGUUAUCUUCAACCUACAGAGUUUGCUCAUAAGAUAUCAAGUGUACAAGUGAAGACCCACCCUUCAGGUUGUAAGAAAUAUUCUGAGUCUUUCGAGACUAGGAUGUUCUUUUAAGUGAAAAUAUCUGUAGAUUGAGUUAGUAAAUGAAAAUUAUAGAUCGUCUUUCCUCACAAAUAUGAUGGACAAAAUUUGAUCAUGCAAGUUCCUUGUUUAAGCAAGUAUUCAGUUCUUUGCUCUUGUACCUUUUCUUUCUCAUGUUUUUCAUCAGUGGUCUUGUUGUUUAAACUGAACUUUCUACAUUUUUUAUGAAGUAGAAGAGAGAAAAUAUGUGCUGAACUUUGUCUUGAAAAGAGGAUAAGAUUCGAACCUCAACUAACAAUAGGUGACAGUAGUAUAGGUUGUCAUUUAGCUAGAGUUCUCCCACAUCAUUAUCAUUGACUAAAUAAUAUGUUCUCUCAACAUGUCAGAGUACCUUCACCUCUUUAGGUGAAGUAGGCCAUGGAGAAAAAGUAUCUUGUAAGUUAGCACAUUGCUGCUCCGGUGAUAGAAAAAAUAUUUUAUAGAACAAUUAUGAUUUCUCCCUUUUCAUUGUAAGGCAGCUUUUGCAAGUAUCUUGCAUCUUGCACCUACUGUCAUAAGCACUUGCUGGUGCUUUGAGUAAUCUAUCAGAAUAAACAAAGCUUUUCUUAAAUUUUCCGAUGCUUCCUUGGGGCCUUUAUUUUAUUUGUAGUCUCUUAUCCAUAAUUUGAAGAUCUUUCAGUUCUAGGAGUUGCUUUCGGACUGUCAACUUUAUUUCAUGCAAAAACUCGAAGUUUCAGAUCCAAUGUAAAAUUAAGCUGGAGUCAGAUUUCAUCAGGAUAAUCUCAUUGGAUUCAAGUUUCAUCAGGGAAAUCUAAACACACUAAACAUCCGCAGAUGACUACUCAAUAUGAACAGAAUAUUAUUCCAGAGUUCACCUUGUACCGAUGGUAUUGAUCCACCGCUACAUCUGCAUUGCUGAAGUCUAAAAUCUUCCCUGCCAAUAACAGUCUUUAAGGUUAACACAGAGAAUCCAAACUAUAUGAUUGCUUUUUUUGCCCCUCUGUGCAUAUUAUACAUAUUGAUACACAAACUGUACCUGAUCGUUUUGUGAAAGUAUCCCAUAUGCUUUGCCCCCUAUUUCCUUCUUUUACAGCUCCUUCGAACUGAGGUGUCGAACUCUUCAGAGCAAGACGUAAGGAUGAACGUGAAAGAAAAGACGAAACAUUUGUGCAUGGCCUCGCACCUGGAAAGAUGAAGAAGCUGUUCCGAAGACGAAACCACUGGGGAAGUCAGCCCUACUAAUAGCAUCACUGGUUGCAAUGAAGCAGAAGAUGAAACAGAGUGUUGCCGACGCUGCCAUCGGUAACUCCCAAUGCCAGAGAGGCUUGUGUUUGUUAAAAGCAGAGGAGUGCUGGGUGCAAUUUCGGUGGAGUGCUUCAGAAUUCAUGCGUUGUUGCCGAAGCUUCAAGGAGAUCGAAUGGACCAAUGUGAUUUGCUGGGAUCGGAUAUGAAGAGAAGGACAUUUCGUUUAAUUAACAUACAUUAUAAAUAUAAUUAAAUUUUAAUUAUAGUUAUCAGUCAAUAAAAAGAAGUCUAAUUAUAUUCCUUACAAGUGUCUCUCCCAUCAAAUAAAUUUUACUAUUAUUAGAUUUUUUUACUUAUCGAUAAUCAAAUUCAGUCAUAUUUAUAAUAUAUUUUAUCUAAUUUGGUAAGAUCACAUAAACUAAUAUUUUUACAGUUGCUCAUUAAUUUACAAGAUAUAAAUGAAAUAAAAUUAAAAUUAAUAAAAAAUUAUUUUAAAAUUAUUUUAUUUAAUUAAAUUUUAAUUUUUUUAAUUUUUUUUUACAUGUGCACAUAAAUUUUAUAAAACUAUCAAUAAGUUUAAAUAAAUAUUAUAUCAUAUUAAGUCUAACUAUUAAUUUAAGUCAUAGCGAUCGUUAUCAAUGUCAUGUUUUCUUUUAUAUAUCAUAAUAUUAUUAGUCCUUUUUAAUGUAGUUUAAAAUAAUUUUUAAAUUUUAUCUUAUGUUAUCAUAUUCAACUAUAGUAUAUAGAAUAGGAAUAAAAUAAUAUAAACAAAUAACUUUAAAUAUAUAAAAAUAAAAAUAUUAAUUAUAAUAUUAAUUGAAUAUAUAAUAUUAUAUCUUUUAUGGGUUGUUCAUAAAUUCAAUCAUAAGAACAUAUAUUUUUAAAAAAAUUAGGUUUUAAGUGAAUAGAUCAACAAUCAAUAUAAUGGAAUUUAAGUUCUUAAUUGACAUUAAUUAUUUUUAGAUUUUCUCUAAUCAUCAAAUAUUUUAUACCAUAAUGUACAGAACUAAUAGAGUAUUUAUCAUUCUUAGAGAAGAAAAAUAUUACGGUAUGUCACAAAGUAUCUUCAGCGUUGAUAAUUAAGUCUGAGAUCAUAUCAAAUAUUGAUAUAAAAUUUUAUGGUUAUAAAGCUAGAUUAGUAACUUCAAAGCAUGUCAUAAAAUGUAUUUCUAUAGUUGAUAAUAAAAUAAUAUAUUAUUAUUUUUCUUUUAAUUAUAGAAUUAGUGUCUAAAAAAGUAUUGUUUUAAGUUGAUUAAAUUUCAUAUAUGUGAACAUAUAACCUUUUAUCUUUUUUUAUUUCAAAAAUCUUAUUAUUUUUUUAUAGUCUUUUAGUGUUUAAUUUCUGGAUAACUCUAAUAUAUACUUAGUAUUCCGACUAUAAAAUUGAUAUCUAAUCUGACUUGAGUAUAUAAUAGACUUCUAAUUGCGCAUAUAUAAUAAAUAUUUUUUUAUUUAAAUUUUUAAAAUUAUUUUAAAAAUUUUGUUUUGUCUAAAAUUUUUUACUUUUGUUAUUUGCUGAAGAAGCUAUAUAUUUAAUCUCUAUAAGACUCAGUCAAUAUAUCAUUUCUAAGAUAGUCUUAACAAUCUUUAAGAUUAUUUCUGAAUAUCUCAAUGUCAAUAACAUAAAUUAUUUUAUUUAUAUUAACUAUCUUAGAAUUUUUGGAGAAAAUUUUCUUGAUUUACUAUAAUAAACUAAGACCAUAGUAAGUAAAUUAUUAUCUAUAAAUAAGAUCAAUAUAAUAAACUAGUUUUCAAUGAUAUUCAUAUAUAAAUAUUGAUCAACAAUAUUUUUCCUUAAAUAUAAAGAAAACAAUAAUGUUAAGAAACUUUAUAUAUUAUUAUUUAGAAGUUUAUUCAAAAUCAUAAAUAAAUUUCUUAAAUCUUCAUACCAAAUUUUAUAUUUUUUUUAUUUUUUUUACGAAUCAUUUAGGUUAAUCCAUAUAAAUCUAAAUCCCUAUUCAAAAAAUUUAUUUUCACAUUCAUGUUAAAAAUAUCUCAUUAUGACCAUUAUAUUAUUUAAUACUUAUCAUUUGAAUCAUAUUUAUAUAACAGGUUGGGUAUUGGAUAAUGCGAUGAGUUCUGGAAUAUCUUUUUGAUUCAUUUAUUGGAACUCUUUCAUAAAUUAAAAGCAUCAAAGUCUUCUAAGACACGUGAUAAACUUGGAGAUGCUUGUGCGUGUUUCUUUCUUCUCCUUUCGGAUUUCCAAUCCUUCACGUAGCAAUCUAAGUUUGCGUUGCUUCAUCAAACAGCCAAACCAAUUGUUAUUGUCUGCACCCUUUCGAUUUAGGACUAAACUAACUGUAACAUGUGACAAAGAUAUAUAUAUAUAUAUAUAUAUAUAUAUAUAUAUAUAUAUAUAUAUAUAUAUAUAUAUAUAUAUAUAUAACACAUAUUUCUACUAUUAAUAUUCAUCGAAAAACUCUAGAUUAACCAUAGCUAAUUAUACCUAAUAUUAACUAGUUAAGUUUAAAGGAUAUUAAUAUUAUUCAGGGUUUUAACUAACUGUUAAAUGAAAGAUAUAAUCAAAAUAGUUUAUUGGAAAAUUUUAGAUUUAUAAGGUUAUAUAUGCUAAAUUCGUAUAUAUAUUGGCACAAUAAUGAGAAUUACUUAAUGUUGAGGGUGUGUGUGUGCAUAUAUAUAUAUAUAUAUAUAUAUAUAUAUAUAUAUAUAUAUAUAAUCAAUAAAAAAAAGGGGGUAAAGAGGGACAUCCACUCACCCCUUCUGCGCUUUAUCCGAAACUCCUAAGCGCAGAAGAGAGCGCUCGAAGAUGGCGACGAUGGUGGCGCUACAGAGCUCGAUGGCUUCCCUUUCCAUCUCCUCCAAUUCCUUCUUGGGCCAGCGCCUCUCUCCCCCACUCCUAACGACGCCCGUUAGCUCUCUGCCCCUCUGCCCUUACUUUCUGAAAUGUUUGGUUUUUGAACUCAUUUGAUGUGUUAUUGUGCCUUAAUCCGACUUCCUGAGAGGAAAAUGCGGAGAAGAUGACUUUUAGAUGGCAUUUUACUUCAUAAAUUUGAUUGUCGACCGUAGAAAGAACUUUCUUUUGUUUAUUCUUUGAUUUCGUUUCUGAAUUCUCUCAACAGGGUAAAUUGGAACCAAUGGACUUCGAUUUUAGGGGUAGGAAAAGACAAAGAGUUAGAAUUCCUCUGACGUUUCCGUUUUCUAAUUCUAGGAAUUGAGGUUUCUCAGAGAACUAAAGCAACCGGUUCCUUUUCCAGAACAAGGAUUUUAAGCGAUUAGUGGUUGAUGCUAUUUAGUAGCCAUUUGAAUGCUCUUUUGUGUUUGCAUUUUGAUGGUCUUACUAAUGAACUCUAUAGCGUAUAUAGAAAACGAUCUUUUUUGCUAGUUUGUGUUGAAAUUAUACUAUUUGGAUUUUGAGAGGAACAAAAAACUGUGUUUUCUCAAAAAUGUUGCAUAAGGGGAUCAAGAAGAACAAGCGUGUGGAAUUAGAAACUCUGAUUUAGUUGCACAAUGUAUAUUUUGGCAUCAAGAAUUUGACAAGUGAUUGCAAAUUGCAAUUUUCUUUAUAUUUUAUAUAUCCUUGCUUCUCAUAUGAUGUCUAAUAGCCUCUACGAGUAAGAGAGGCAUGGAUGCCUAUACGUAGCACCUUUCUGUGAAACUUGUGUCAUUUGAAUCAUCCAGCUUAAAACUAAUUGCUUACCUGCACUAAGCCUUAAGUCAUAUGCAAGUAAACCAUGUUGAGACGAUUGGCUCAUCCUUAUAGCCACUUGCAGUUUGUUCAACUUGGCUUAAACCGAAUUCUUUGAUCUAGGCCGGAAACUAACACAUAUGCAGAGGGGAUAUGUAAGGCUUGGGACUUAUGCAAUUUUUCCAUGUUAUGAUUAAACAUUAUCCUAUUUGGAAUAUCAAGAAAGGUAAAACAUCACCAAAUCAUAUAGCAUGUGCUAUGAAGAAUUUGAUGAUGAUUUUUAUAAUCAAUUGACCCUAUUCUUUGUAUGUUACCAUUUUCAAGCAUAUUCCUUAAAAUUGAUAAUGAUGUUUGGUUACCUAUUUAUUAUUUCACAAAAUACUCUUAAGCUAAGCUAUGUAUCUUAAUAAAUGUAAAAUGAAAGAAGAAAAACCUUAAAAUUUAUCAUCAAACAUCAACUAUGAAUGUCCACAAAUACAAAUUUGGCUCAUAAUAUUUUUUAGAGACAAUACUGUUGUGAUCAGUAAGUACUACUCGAAACAAAUUGUCUUCAGAGAAAUGGAUGGUUCAGGCAUAAGAAGGUAUAUUGAUAUGUAUUUUCUGAAGUCGGUAGAUAACAAACAUACAAUAGGACCACUGUGAAUUAUAUCAGCAACUAUGAAAUGUUACUUUGCAUGAUGUUCUGAUUGUUGAGCUGCUGUGCCGGAUAAAUUUUAUGACUAAGCUGAAUUAAGUAAUAUCUGAGAUGUCCAAGUCCUCAAAUACUUUUAGAAUAUCUGGGCCCUGUAUGUGAUGCUAAUUUUGAUUUUUUCACAUCUCUGUAGUGCAUGGUUUCCCCAUUAUUGAUCUUUUGUAAUUAACAUAAGUGUGUUGCAUUUUCUUGUUGCAGGUUAAAUCGGUGGACCAGCCAUGCACUAUAGUAAUGAGGGUUAGUUCAUCAGUUCUUCUGCAUGUUCUAUAUUGAAGAUGAUCGUGCUAAACUAUUUCCUUUAUGAGCUAUCGGAAAUUAGAUUACCAAUGAGCACCGAACUAGGUGAAUUAUUCUGUGGAUGAUCUUAUCGCUUUCUUUAUAUUUUUCAUCUUCUAUUGCAGCUUAAACGCUGGGAGCGCAAGGAAUGUAAACCAAAUAGUCUUCCCAUACUGCAUAAAAUGCAUGUUAAGGUAGGGGACACAGUCAAACUUAUCACAGGCCAUGAGAACGGUAAAAUUGGGGAAAUUACUCGCAUUUUCAGGCAUAACAGCACUGUGAUUGUAAAAGGCUUGAACCUGAAAACAAAGCACAUGAAGAGCAGAGAACAAGGUGAACCUGGGCAGAUUGUCAAGGUAUGCUCUCUAUUUUCUGAACUUCCAUUCAUGUUUAUGAAUGAGCAAAUGGCAGGAUCAGGCUUUCCUCUCUUGAACUUUACUCCUUCCAUUGCUUUCUCAUGUGUUGAGCCUGAGUUAUCCUGCACAACGAACUGUUUCUGAACAGAUUGAAGCACCUAUCCACAGCUCAAAUGUGAUGCUUUACUCUAAAGAAAAAGAAGUGGCGAGCAGAGUGGGUCACAAAAUCCUCGAGGACGGAACCAGAGUCCGCUACCUCAUCAAAACUGGCGAAAUAAUCGACAGCACAGAGAACUGGAAAAAGGUUGUGAAAGAAAGAAAGGAAAAGAAAGAAGAGGCAUCCAGUUAGCAUCAAGGCAUCAAGUUGCUUCAUGUAUGACAUUUUAAAUCCCUUCUCUAGAAGUUUGUUGUUGCAUUCCAUUUGUAAUCAAGAGCAGUUAUGCUCCUGGAAUGUUUUCUACUCUGUCAUGGAAACUUCUUUUUUUCACUGAAAUCAUUCAUUUUUGUACUUGUUAUGUCUAUGAAUUUGGAAUCACUACCUUUACUCUAAUAUGGUCUCUUUGCAUGCUGUUAUCAUGUUCUGAAGUAGUGAAUUUGUGUUUUUUUUGUGACAUUUAUGUUUUUAUGAUAUUUGAUUCAUUCUAAGAUCUCUUAUCUGUAUCAAGAAAUUUGUGUUUGGUUUGAGAAACAAUGGCUUCUCCUCCCAACAUCUCAUGUUUAAAUAAGAGGAGAGAUUCCUCUCAUAACUUCCAAAUCCAUCACUCAACCUCUCAUAAGUUGACACAUGAAUGCAAAACAGCUAAUCAAGUAGUAUGAGGACCACUUAAAAAAGGACAAUAGGAGCAACAAAGGACAUCAUCAUCAUCAUCAUCAUCAUCAUCAUCACUUUUCAACCCCUUUUUGCAUCUUCUUCUUUGCGAGCAUUCUGUGUAGUGCUUGUUUAAUAAGAGGCUCAUUCUCUCUAUCAUUGAGGCCAAAACCUAACUAAAAUUAGCACCAUUGUCAGAUCUAAUUCCCAAGAAACUUCACAUGUAUGCAGUACUUUUGAGCUCCAUCUGCCUAUAUAUAUGCACAACAAAAACCUAUACUUUUGCACCCAUUAUUACACCUCCCUGUGGGCCCAACAUGUGAAGUGAGUGAAGGUGUGAUUUUUGUGGUCAAAAGGUGUCUCCAGCCAGUACUGCUCCUUUUUCUUUUUCCCCUUUUAUUUAUAUUCCUUUACUCUGUAGUUCUCUAUCUCUCUUGGCUUUCAGCUUCACGUGAACGCGUGCAGCGGUGGCCCGACACAAGCAACAACAAAAUAAAGAGAGAGAGGCCAACUGCCUCUGUUUUGGUCACUGCUCCUCUCUCUCUCUCUCUCUUCUUCUUCUUCUUGUGUANNNNNNNNNNNNNNNNNNNNNNNNNNNNNNNNNNNNNNNNNNNNNNNNNNNNNNNNNNNNNNNNNNNNNNNNNNNNNNNNNNNNNNNNNNNNNNNNNNNNNNNNNNNNNNNNNNNNNNNNNNNNNNNNNNNNNNNNNNNNNNNNNNNNNNNNNNNNNNNNNNNNNNNNNNNNNNNNNNNNNNNNNNNNNNNNNNNNNNNNNNNNNNNNNNNNNNNNNNNNNNNNNNNNNNNNNNNNNNNNNNNNNNNNNNNNNNNNNNNNNNNNNNNNNNNNNNNNNNNNNNNNNNNNNNNNNNNNNNNNNNNNNNNNNNNNNNNNNNNNNNNNNNNNNNNNNNNNNNNNNNNNNNNNNNNNNNNNNNNNNNNNNNNNNNNNNNNNNNNNNNNNNNNNNNNNNNNNNNNNNNNNUCCUCUCUCUCUCUCUCUCUUCUUCUUCUUCUUGUGAUUUCCAUGGUCUGAAACCUCUGAAGGAGAUAAGAGAGGAGGAUGUGUUACGUAGGGAAAGCGACCAAGAUCUUCUUCUUCCUCGUAGGGGCGCUCAUGGUGGUGGGCCUCGUCGUCGGCUUCGGCCUCGUCCGGCACGGCUGGGCACACAAGGCCGCCGCCCAGCCUUGCCAGUCAUCGUCGUUGACCGUCGCCGGAUGCCGGCCCAUCUUCCCCGACCCCAUUCCCGCCGACACCGCCACCGCCUCCACGGCCCCACCCUUCCCCGCGGCCGCCAUUCCCGCGGGCACGAUCCCCGUGCCGCCUCCGCCGCCCGCUGCCACCGACGUUCCCACGCCGCCCACCACGCCGCCACCGACCGUAAUCCUGCCGCCUGCGCCGCCCACAGCCACCGCCACCGACGUUCCCCCGCCGGCCAGUUCCACGGCCGCGCCGCCGCUUGUCAGCUUCGGCCCACCAAGUCCGGUUUACCAAGCGCUCGGCCCGGCCCAUGCAUAGAGGACAAAUAGACCGCUGAACCACCUUAGACUUACCUUUCAUUACUUGGUUUCUUUUUUCUUAUUUUAAUAGUAAUUUUCUUUCAAUUUCUUUUGUUUUUUUGGGGGGGGAAGGAACUCAUGAAGGCUAUUAGGUAAUCUUCUUUUCCUUGUUCUUAACAUUUGGAACUCGAGAUUAAUUUGGGAUGAUUGGAAUAAAUUCAUGUGGGGGAAUUAUUCACAAUAUUGAUCAUCUCUUCUCGCUCUUUCUUCCUAUCCUUAACUAUUUGAUUUAGGCUCAAGAAAAGGAUUAAAAGGCUAAGUUUUUAUGCUCACUGUUAAUUAAUGAAACAUAAUGCACUACAAUUAUCAUUCUUUUUUCUUAAUUCUUUAUUUUCAUCACCACCGGAUAAGAUUUCUCUUUUCGGAGUCACCAUCCAUGGAUGACAUCAGAGGCUUGGAGUCGUUGCCUGACAUGAAGUAAUGCUUGGAUCACACAGACCACAGAAAAAAGAGAUGUCACAAGAGUUCAUGCCUGCAAAGAAGAACACAAGUACACACCACUGCAGGAUGAGAGAGAGAGCUGUUGUUGGAAGUGGUCAUAUUUUGCCCAUUAAUAUCAUAUUCUGAAGAGAGAGAGAGAGAGAGAGAGAGAGAGAAAGAAGAACAUGAAGCUACAGCAAUGUCCUCUUUCUUUCUCCUUGUAUCUGAGAAGUGGAGUGGCUGUAGCCUUUGUCUGCAUGUUCUUCCCUGACACUCAUGUGUGGUUGCUGCUCCUAUUUGGAAUCUUUAUCUGCUCCCUGUCAGUAGACAACACAAGAUGCCAAUUUCUAAUGCCACUACUGUUCUUUAAUAGUAAGCACUCCACUGUUAUCAUACAAAUGAGCUGAUCCCAAUCCCUCAGAAUUUGAUGAGCAAUACUGUUUCCUUUAGACUGAUUUGGAUAUCCUUGGAUGAAAUUUUAGAUUAGGUUUGAGUAAAAAUAAGUACUUAAUUUACAACUCUAAGAAUUUUAAUUUUAACUAAACAUAAUAGAUAUAAUCGAUCGAUCGUUAUGAUCUAAAUCACUAAAAACACAAAUGUAUUAAAAAGAUAUAUAAUUUAUUUCUAUUAAAACAUCUGAGUUGGUUAGUGUAUUAUUGUAUAAGUGAUACGUCGUCCACUUAUAAAUAAACGUUAUAUAUGUUAUUUGAUAUAAUAAAUUUAUUUUUAUUUUUAUAAUAAUAUAUAAUAUGUUCUCUUUGAACAUUAAAAUGAUUCUAAAAAUAAUGUCAUAUUAUUUUAUUCUUCAAUGAAACCAAAUCUAAAAUCACAGCUAUAUAUGAAAAAUAAAAUAUCAUGAUAGUAUAUUAAAAUUCACAAUCUUAUCUAUCAUCACAAGUCCACCCCAUUUAUUUAUCUCUAAUCUGUCUUGUUCUUAUUUUGUACUGAAUUGCUACCCACGGUGGCUGGAGACUGAGAUGGGAGUUCAUUUGGGCCCCACAGUGCGCUGCAAGUUGUCCGAUAACAAGGCUGGUGAGGUUCGAGGGACGUUGCGUUGGGAGUCUGUAAGGAAAGUAUUCCUCUGUUACUUCAUUAACGUUCGAGGCCGGUAAAAGGGCGGAAAGAGAAAGGCGAGAGGGAAACCCAUUGAUCUCCCGACGGCGAACCGUUCCCUGAAUCCGCCAACGAGCGCCGGCCGCGAGGGUUCCGACGAGUAUCGGUGAUGGGUUCGUCCGAAAGCCCUGCUUGGUUCUUGGAUGACUUGAUCGGCGACAUGCACGCCUCCGAGGGCGAUCUCGCGGGGGUCAACGGCGGCUUUUGCUGGGCUCCCCCGGGAUUCAAUAUUUCCUUCAGGUGAUUUCGAAUCCGAUACUUUGGGAUCUCGUUGCGGUUGUCGUCGAGAACUGUCUAACACUCUUCUUGGAUGAACUGGAGAGCUGGUGUCUCCUAAAGUUGCGGCUUUGUUUCUUCUUUCUUGAUCUGUUAAUGUUUGAUGCAUGUAGUUACUUUUGAUCUUCUAAGGUUAGUGUUUUAUUGAAUCAUAGUAUGAUAUUGAGAGUUGCUAUGAUCAUUGGUAGUAUUGUGGAUAUAUGUAGCGAGAAAACCUUACGGAGUGGAUUAGGGUGGGAAUAUUGUUUCGAUCGAUCACGUAGCAUGUGGAUGUUGGGUUUGUUGAUUUUGCCUAUUCAAUUGCAAUCUAUAUUUGGUAUCUACAUAAUAGAAGAGAGUGAUUUGUACGGUGAAUCUUCACUCUUCUACACUGAUCUAAGAGGGGGUUGAGCAAGAUGCAAGUUAGUGAGAAGACAUAUUGAUCAUCUUGUAAUUUGGUCAUAGAAAGAUGAAAACUUUGUUUAGGUGCUGUAUAACACUUAUUGCAUUUUAUGGGCCUUAAAUAGGAUAACUUGAAAAGUCGAAACUCGAUUGACUUUUUCCUGGAUGGUGGUGAGAUGUACUAUAUGCAUCACAGAGAGUAUUAUCUCUUCAUUGUGUAGAUUUAAUUUAUCAGAUGCUACCAAGUUAAGGUGUUUCGGAAACUCAUGGAAUAGGAAAUGUUCUAUGCAACACAUGGAAUAGGAAAUAUUUUAUUUGUAGUCGCAGAGGACUUUUUGAACGUGUCCCAUGCUGAUCUGGGUGAAGUUUUUGAUUAAAAUCUUUGCAUAACCUGCAGACAUUAACAGAGCUAGAAGAACAGAAGUGGUCCAUCCAUCGAGAAGAACAACCAAAUGCUAUUACUAGUCUAUAUGCUCAAAACAAGAAAUUUCCCACAACUUCCGAAAAGGACACAACAUAAUUAAGGAAGGAGUAAACCAUGCAUAUGCUGCAUGAAUUUAGAGAAAAGUUGGAUGUUUUAAGGUUUGUACUAUACUUUAAUAUUGGAAGUAGACAAAGAAACAAAUUGCAUAAAAAAAUUUCUUUUAUUGCCUCAUAACAAGUGAGGAAAAAGCUUUGAUUCUGCCAUGCAAACUGUGCCCACACCUUAGAGCUGACUAUGCCAUCUUACAUGACCACUCUGUCCAAUUCACACUUCAAGUUUCCAAUUCAGUUUCUUUGAUUUGUCAUCGAAUUGACUUGUGCCAAGAUAAGUUUGAUCUACUUUAUCUUGUGAUGAUUGCUAAAGCAAGCUCUUUAUAAUUAAUGCAUACAUUGCUUAGGAGCAAUCCAACAAAUCAUUUUAUCAUUAAAUAGCUGAGAUGACUCAUUUCAUCAAUUUAGUCCAAUCUAUCCCUUUCUAACCAAUAUGUGCUUUAUGACUGGAUCGUAUCAGUGGGGUAAAUUUCAAUAUAUGUAUGGUUAAUCUUUUCAGAAUCGUAUUGUUCAUUGAUAGUCCACAGGGUUCGUACUCUACAUCGUAUGAUAAUAACCACUCUAUCUGUUGACUAAUGAUCCAUUAAAAGAUUCCUAUUAAAAUUCAAAUGAGUAUCUGACUAAUAAAUCCCAUUGGAUAGUGCGGUGGCUCUGGUUCAUGAGAAUUAGGCAAAUUAUUCAUACAGAUACUGACAAUCAUAAAAGAUGACAUGAAAAUUCCAUAUUGGAGAGGAUCAUUUGGAUUUAGAUGGAUACUUAAAAUCAUAAAAGUAUGUUGGGGCAUACGUAAACACACUUAAGGACUUGUCUUAGAUUAAUCACCAUGGUUCAUAUUUUCUGUAAAUUUAGACUACUAGAUUUUAUGUGUUCCAUAAGGACCUUGGAGCUGAAGAUCCUUCAGGGCAUUGCAUUAUUUGGUCUUGGGUGUCAAUAUAGUGGAAAUGGUUUUGAGAAUCUUCAUAAUUCUUUCAGCAAAAAUCAGUACUUUGCAUCGUAGUCAUCGAUCACAUUCUUAUGGUUUGUAUGAAUCAUUUGGAAGCUGCUAUGGUUUUUAAUUUUUGUCAUUUUUCUAUGAUUUUAACUUAAGUAUUGUAUAUUAUGCAUUUUUAUUCUUUGGAUAUCUUCAGUGAUUCUUCUAUUCAAAUUCUUUUUUUUUUUCAAAGUUCUAACAAGCAUAUUUCUUCUGCCUGUUGCCAUGAUUGACAGCUCCUUUUCAGACUCCAAUGGCCUCACAGAACCAGUCACUGGAAAGCGGUCGAAAUUUGAUCUUAUAAGUGAAACUUAGGAUAUUAUUGUUACUUCAUAUGCAUUUUUGUUGAUCAGUUUUUGAGACCAGAAAGCUUUAUUGCAGUAAGAGGUCAGAAACCUGUAGUACACCCGCCAAAGCUUGUAGAGAAAAAAUGAGAAGGGACAGGUUGAAUGACAGGUGCGAUAUCUGAUUUAUUAUGUGUGAACCAGCAGUGAUGCUAAAUAUGGUACUUUUUCCUCAUGCAUCAAGAUGACCUCAAGGCUUUUAUUUUUGUUUUUGAUUUAAGAUUCCUGGAAUUGGGCUCUCUUCUUGAACCUGGAAAGUUAUCAAAAUUGGACAAAGCUGCUAUCCUAAGUGAUGCUGUUCGUGUGUUGACUCAACUGCGCAGUGAGACAGAAAAGCUUAAAGAGUCAAAUGAAAUUCUCCAAGAGAAGAUAAAUGAAUUAAAGGUGGCUUAGAUUUUCCUUUGGUAUUACUAUUGUUAGAUAUAUGUAGUUUGUGUCUUCAUCUCUCAUGACUGUGCUUGUAUUGUAUCAGAUUAAGAUCUAUGUGAUGUUGAGAUUAUUUAGAAGGCUAACAUAGAUGCAUUUGCUUCAAUUAAAUGCAAUAAUUUUGGGAAAAAAAAGUAGGUGUCUUUUUCAAGCAUUAUGGAACUUUGCUGUUCCAUUUUUUUUUCUUUUCUAGCAUGAGUUGUCGACCUGUUAUCUAAUUACAUUUUAUUGCUCUUCAGGCUGAGAAGAAUGAGCUUCGUGAUGAGAAGCAGAAGCUGAAGGCAGAGAAUGAGAGUCUGGAGCAGCAAAUAAAACUCAGAUCGAGCUAUGUUUCUCACCCACCACCUGUAAUAGCGACCCCCUUCACAGCAAAAGGUCAAGCUGCGGCACAGAAGCUAAUGAUACCCAUCAUCGGUUACCCUGGCUUCCCAAUGUGGCAAUUCAUGGCGCCUUCCGAUAUCGAUACAUCGCAGGAUGCUGAUAAAUAUCCACCUGCUGCCUAGGCUAAUGGCCGAUCAAGCCGACACUCUUUGGGCUCUAGGUUAUGCCAAGGAUUCUAGCUUGAUUUCGUUGUUAGUUCUAAAAACAUGAUUACUAUUCUCAAUGAUGUGUUGUUAACCAGUGAAUGUCUUUUCUUGGAUCAGCGCAAGUUAUAAGUGGCAGAUCUCCCUGUAAAUGCACAUAAAUAGGGGAUUAUUGACCCAUUUGCUACUUUGUUAAAUGUGAUGAGCUGCAUGCUCGUAUUAUUGUUGUGCUCACUAGUGAACUAAUUAUAUCUUGGUUCCUUAUGCUCCAAAAAUUUUCUGCUCAUAUAUGCUCUAACGAUCUUUUGAAGCUAUUGUCAUGAGUUCUUUCAGGUACUAUCGACAAAGAACAUAAAAGUCAAACAUAAAUAAACUUCUAAUGCCAAAUCAACAUAUGCUAAUAUGUAGAAUAACCACCUUAUCUUAUAUAUAUAUAUAUAUAUAGUAAUCUGGUGGUCGUUGUCGUCGUCAUCGUCACGGUGUUUUAAUCGCUUGGUACACCGGAUCCUGGUCCAACCGUCGGGCGAUCGGCGUCGGCCAGCAGCGGGUUGCCGGUCGGGUCUUGCGAGUCGCGGAGCCACACGCUGAGCAUCACUAGCCCUGUGCCGAGGAGGAGGACGAAGAGUAGGCCCAGGCAAGCGGCCGCGGAAGUGUCAGCCCUCCGCCCGUCGCCGAUCGGGUUGACCAUGGCGGGCGCAAGGGCAAGCACGAUGAGCAAGAGACCGUAGGAGGCGACCUUGGACGGGAGAUCAGCCAUGGCCGACGAGGUCUGAGAAGAAGCCACACACCGCACCAGGUGCGCCGAGGUCGAACCCGAUGAUGGGUGGGCGAGCCCGCGAAGGCCU
rnacentral:lncRNA from 1 species